ACGGAGGAUGCAAGCGUUAUCCGGAUUCAUUGGGUUUAAAGGGUGCGUAGGCGGAAUAAUAAGUCAGUGGUGAAAGCCUGCGGCUUAACCGUAGAAAUGCCAUUGAUACUGUUAUUCUUGAGUAUAGUUGAGGUGGGCGGAAUGUGUAAUGUAGCGGUGAAAUGCUUAGAUAUUACACAGAACACCAAUUGCGAAGGCAGCUCACUAAGCUGUUACUGACGCUGAGGCACGAAAGCGUGGGGAGCAAACAG
rnacentral:rRNA from 1 species